rnacentral:tRNA from 1 species
GCGGGAGUAGCUCAGUUGGUAGAGCACGAGCUUGCCAUGCUCGUGGUCGCGGGUUCGAGUCCCGUCUCCCGCUCCA